GGUUCCGUUCCGAUAUAUAUAUAUAUAUAUAUAUAUAUAUAUAUAUAUAUAUAUAUAUAUAUAUAUAUAUAUAUAUAUAUAUAUAUAUAAUUUUUUUUUAUUUUUUUUUUAUUGUGGUAGCCCCCAAAAUAUUGGGACAUAUAAAAAAAGACAACUCUGUUCCGUAGAGUAGCUGUUGAUAUUAUAGUUGCGCAGGAACUCUAGGGUACCUCGGACAUAUCGAACAUCCCCGUGGUGGCGACUUUGCAUGCAGAUGUCAUCCAUAUCAACUUUCGAUGCAAGUUUCUGGGCAUACCACGGGGAGUCAGGAUUCCAUUCCGUACAGGGACCCUGAGAAAUGGCUACCACAUGCAAGGAAGGCAGCAGACAUGCAAAUGACCCACUCCCGACGCAGGAAGGUAGUGACGACAAAUAACAAUACAGGACUCUUUAGAGGCCCUAUAAUUAUAAUGAGUCCACUUGAAAUCCUUUAACUCUGAUCAAGUGGAGGGAAGCCUGGUGCAGAGCCACUGACCCAUGCAUACUGCAGCUGAAACUCCACUAUC